rnacentral:rRNA from 1 species
GAUGAACGCUGGCGGCGUGCUUAACACAUGCAGGUCGAACGAUGAAGCCCAGCUUGCUGGGUGGAUUAGUGGCGAACGGGUGAGUAACACGUGAGUAACCUGCCCUUAACUCUGGGAUAAGCCUGGGAAACUGGGUCUAAUACCGGAUAGGAGCGUCCACCGCAUGGUGGGUGUUGGAAAGAUUUAUCGGUUUUGGAUGGACUCGCGGCCUAUCAGCUUGUUGGUGAGGUAAUGGCUCACCAAGGCGACGACGGGUAGCCGGCCUGAGAGGGUGACCGGCCACACUGGGACUGAGACACGGCCCAGACUCCUACGGGAGGCAGCAGUGGGGAAUAUUGCACAAUGGGCGCAAGCCUGAUGCAGCGACGCCGCGUGAGGGAUGACGGCCUUCGGGUUGUAAACCUCUUUCAGUAGGGAAGAAGCGAAAGUGACGGUACCUGCAGAAGAAGCACCGGCUAACUACGUGCCAGCAGCCGCGGUAAUACGUAGGGUGCGAGCGUUAUCCGGGAUUAUUGGGCGUAAAGCUCGUAGCGGUUUGUCGCGUCUGUCGUGAAAGUCCGGGGCUUAACCCCGGAUCUGCGGUGGGUACGGGCAGACUAGAGUGCAGUAGGGGAGACUGGAAUUCCUGGUGUAGCGGUGGAAUGCGCAGAUAUCAGGAGGAACACCGAUGGCGAAGGCAGGUCUCUGGGCUGUAACUGACGCUGAGGAGCGAAAGCAUGGGGAGCGAACAGGAUUAGAUACCCUGGUAGUCCAUGCCGUAAACGUUGGGCACUAGGUGUGGGGACCAUUCCACGGUUUCCGCGCCGCAGCUAACGCAUUAAGUGCCCCGCCUGGGGAGUACGGCCGCAAGGCUAAAACUCAAAGGAAUUGACGGGGGCCCGCACAAGCGGCGGAGCAUGCGGAUUAAUUCGAUGCAACGCGAAGAACCUUACCAAGGCUUGACAUGUUCUCGAUCGCCGUAGAGAUACGGUUUCCCCUUUGGGGCGGGUUCACAGGUGGUGCAUGGUUGUCGUCAGCUCGUGUCGUGAGAUGUUGGGUUAAGUCCCGCAACGAGCGCAACCCUCGUUCCAUGUUGCCAGCACGUCGUGGUGGGGACUCAUGGGAGACUGCCGGGGUCAACUCGGAGGAAGGUGAGGACGACGUCAAAUCAUCAUGCCCCUUAUGUCUUGGGCUUCACGCAUGCUACAAUGGCCGGUACAAUGGGUUGCGAUACUGUGAGGUGGAGCUAAUCCCAAAAAGCCGGUCUCAGUUCGGAUUGGGGUCUGCAACUCGACCCCAUGAAGUCGGAGUCGCUAGUAAUCGCAGAUCAGCAACGCUGCGGUGAAUACGUUCCCGGGCCU